rnacentral:rRNA from 1 species
GAUUGCCUCAGUAACGGCGAGUGAAGCGGCAACAGCUCAAAUUUGAAAUCUGGCCCCAGGCCCGAGUUGUAAUUUGCAGAGGAUGCUUUUGGCGAGGUGCCUUCCGAGUUCCCUGGAACGGGACGCCAUAGAGGGUGAGAGCCCCGUACGGUUGGACACCAAGUCUUUGUAAAGCUCCUUCGACGAGUCGAGUAGUUUGGGAAUGCUGCUCAAAAUGGGAGGUAUAUUUCUUCUAAAGCUAAAUAUUGGCCAGAGACCGAUAGCGCACAAGUAGAGUGAUCGAAAGAUGAAAAGCACUUUGAAAAGAGGGUUAAACAGCACGUGAAAUUGUUAAAAGGGAAGCGCUUAUGACCAGACUUGCGCCCGGUGAAUCACCCAGCUCUCGCGGCUGGGGCACUUUGCCGGCUCAGGCCAGCAUCAGCUCGCUGUCGGGGACAAAAGCUUCGGGAACGUAGCUCUCUUCGGGGAGUGUUAUAGCCCGUUGCAUAAUACCCUUUGGCGGGCUGAGGUACGCGCUCCGCAAGGAUGCUG